UUCAUUCUCCCAUUUCAAAAUUUUCUUAAAUCCAUAGUUGAAGCAAUAGCAGCGCCUCCCCUUUCUUCUUCUUUCUCUUCCUCAUUCCACGCCUCAUCUUGGUGGAAUUCGAAGUUCCGCCGGCACGUACUCCCUAAAUCGACGAAACAACGGCGAUCUCUCUUCUCUUCCUUUCGUCGCCGUCUCCGGCUACUCGACGGUUAGAUCGCCGCUGCCCCUUCGCGAGGCAUCCUCAACACUCACCGGCGACUCAGCGUUGACGCCGUCGCGACAUGGAUCCGUCAUUGCUGUCGCGACGCCCAAAUGCCGGUGCUCUGCCGUCGGCAUCGCGGUGUCUUCCUCGACGUCUCGCCGGACAGACCCUCAUCCUCAAGCUAAGUUCUUUUGGCUUGGUGUACUUAGUUUUGAUUGAUUAUGAAAUUUGGGCAGUAGCUAUGUGGUGUUGAAGGUCUGCUAAAACUUUAAUUUUCCUUGGGCAGUAGCCAUGGUAAAUUUGCUACUGAUUUUUGGCUGAAAACAGUUUAUGUUCUCCCUUGAUUUGAAAUGUAUGGUGUGUAAAACUUAAGGCUCUAAAUCUUGCACCUAGCAUGAUGUUCGAACUAGAAGCAGCGUGGUUAAAUCUUGUUUUCUCUGUGCUCUGCAGUGUUGCAGAUUAUAGUUAAACUUGGUGCUUAGGAUUCUUUCUUCUGGGAUUCCUAUUAUGCUGUGCCCUUUUUUUCUUCAAGUGUUCAUGCUUCUAUGUCCCUAUGAUGUGGAGGAAAGGGUGUUACCUCUUGAAGUGGCUACUCUCUUUUAAAUCUUUGUUCCUAACUCUCCCAAGUUCACUUCCCACUCUGGAACUCCUGGUUGUGAAGUAAGGGAAAGGGGUGAGCUUAUGUUUUAGGAUGAAAAACUUUUGGGGAGGAAGAAAAGAGAUGUUACCUAUGGAAAGUAGGGCUGCCUGCAGGAACUAUGAAGAAAGCUCUCAAACUUGCUACUGCUCGUUCUUGAUUUUCACUAGAAGUUGCUGAAUUUUUGAUGUGUGUGGAAGGGAGAAAUUUAUGCAUAUGAUGGGGUUUUUAUAGGCAAAACUUGAUGUACUUUGGGAGGAUUAUUGUAGUUGUCUUCAUGCUGCAGCAUAUCCGUUAUUUGGUCCACAUUGUAGCACUUUAACUUAAGACUUUUGGUGUUAUUUGAAGUACUAGGUACUUGAUCAUUAACUCCAUCUUGUUCCCACAUGAUUUUCAAGUACUUGGCUAUUAACUUCCAUUGUUUGCUUGUGGCUGGUGAGAAAACAGGUGCUGCCAUAGUGUGGAGGAUUUGCAGGAUUGACUUUCCCCUUUUGGGUAAGUCUUUGGUCUUCCAACUAAAGAGAGGUUGUCUCCUUCCUCAUGGUUGGGAGAGGACUUGGGCUGCCAAGCUGCUGUCCGCGACGGGCUCGCUGCCUCGGCCCCAAACGAGCUGAUCGGAUAGGGCCGACUUUUGGGCUUUGACAUAGAGGCCCGAAGUACAACUAUUAUGAGAUUUUGUUUUGUCUUAAACUCUUUGGCCCAUCCAAGAGUAUUUGUAAUAGUAAUAUCCCAUAUUCUUUCUUCCAUUCAUGUAAGACGAUAAUCCAAGUUAAAGUAUUAUUCGAGAAGUAUGCGAACA